rnacentral:rRNA from 1 species
CCGAUGAGGUGGAAACGGACAGAGCUGGCGUAUCUGGCCUGCAUUCAGCCGCCGCGCGUCGGGCCCCGGUUUGCCGCACUCCAGAUUGGGAAGGUGGCUGGGCUGCUGGCGUGUCGGUGGUGCAUUUGCAGGUGGAGUGCGCCGAGGCGCUCGGCUCAGCGGCAUGAGCUCGGCUUUGAGGCCAACCGCGCAAGCGGUCUGGUACCCGGGUCGGGGGAGUGUUGUUUGGGCUGAGUGUUCGCGCUUGGGCACUGGUUUCGGGCCCGGUUGGGUGCCGAGCUGGCGGUGGACGGCGGUCGCGUGCGACACGUGUCUUCAGUCAGUUCGGUCCUGCUCGAGCUCUCGCGUGUCCGGCCUCGGUGUAAAAGCCGGUCGUCUGUCCGACCCGUCUUGAAACACGGACCAAGGAGUUUAGCGUGUGCGCGAGUCAUUGGGCGUUGAAAACCCAAAGGCGCAAUGAAAGUGAAGGUCUGCCUUGUGCAGCUGAUGUGUGAUCCUGGGCGCUGCGGUGCCCGGGCGCAACAUAGUCCCGUCCCGACUGCAUGCAGUGGGGCGGAGACAGAGCGUACGCGCUGAG